CGAUAACGAACGAGACCUUAACCUGCUAAAUAGCCAGGCCGUCUUUUGAUGGCUGCAGGCUUCUUAGAGGGACUGUCAGGAUCUACCUGACGGAAGUUUGAGGCAAUAACAGGUCUGUGGUGCCCUUAGAUGUUCUGGGCCGCACGCGCGCUACACUGACAGAGCCAGCGAGUUUAUCACCUUGGCCGGAAGGUCCGGGUAAUCUUGUGAAACUUUGUCGUGCUGGGGAUAGAGCAUUGCAAUUAUUGCUCUUCAACGAGGAAUGCCUAGUAGGCGCAAGUCAUCAGCUUGCGUCGAUUACGUCCCUGCCCUUUGUACACACCGCCCGUCGCUACUACCGAUUGAAUGGCU
rnacentral:rRNA from 1 species